GCCAGCACUGCCAGCAACACGGCCGAAGGAGCUGUGGGGCGGGCGGCUGCGGCAGGCCGGCGUGGAAGCAGCUCGCUCGGACCGCGCCUGGUGGGGCUCGCUGCCUUGUUCCCCCACCCCCCAAGAGGAGGUGGGGAGGAGCUGCCAACUCACGGGCCCCGAGCGGACCCACGGCUCUUUGCAAAUCGCUGAUAGACAACAAUGCUCCUCAGACCCAGAGCCCUUCAUGUGAAACACCCAGGAGUUCUGCUUGCCAAGAUCCUUCCCCAGGGUCACAUCAUCAUAUUAUGCUGGAUUCAGAGGGAGGCCCUGGCCUCUCCCUCUCUGAGCCCAGCACCACAGUGUCCCCUCCCUUCGCUCCUGCAAGGGGAGACACUCCCUCCUCACCUUCCGGGUAAAGGAGC